CAGCUGCUGGGCUGGGGCUGACCCACCCGGAGGCGCUACCUGUCCCAGGUGUGCAGGCCAACGCAGUGCCCAGUCUCAACCACCAGGGGCAAACUAUGCUCAGGGAUGCAUUGACCCAGGCCAAGCAAGAGCUCCUGUCGUGAGCUCCACCACCACAGCUGAAGGUGGAAGCAGCAUCUUUAACCCCUCGUUGGCUGGCUGUAAUAUCUAUGGACCGGUUACAUUCAACAGUGGAAACACACUCCACCAUUGGCGGAAGAAGAUGGUCAGAGAAAGAACCAGAUGGAGCUAUUCUACAGGAAGUACUCACUGACCAUAAGAGUAGGAUGAAGAAGCGCUUCGAGUGCAUAUUUGAAGGUAUU
ensembl:lncRNA